AAACGGUCAGUUUGACAGACACGGCUGAGACUGUCCUUUUAUUCAAUCUUUCACAUAAUAAGGAAACAAGACUCGAACAAAAUCUCAUUUUAUCUUUGCAACGACGCCACCUAGAGUAAUAGUACAAGGAUUACAACCAGGUCAAGGGUACUUCAAUGUCAUUCAAGGCGAACAGAAGGAGUGGCCUAAACCAGUGGUCUCCAACAUGGUGCCCGUGGCUGCCCGCACAGAGCCUGUGAGUUGC